GGCCUACACAUGCAAGUCGAGCGGUAGCACAGAGAGCUUGCUCUCGGGUGACGAGCGGCGGACGGGUGAGUAAUGUCUGGGAAACUGCCUGAUGGAGGGGGAUAACUACUGGAAACGGUAGCUAAUACCGCAUAACGUCGCAAGACCAAAGAGGGGGACCUUCGGGCCUCUUGCCAUCAGAUGUGCCCAGAUGGGAUUAGCUAGUAGGUGGGGUAACGGCUCACCUAGGCGACGAUCCCUAGCUGGUCUGAGAGGAUGACCAGCCACACUGGAACUGAGACACGGUCCAGACUCCUACGGGAGGCAGCAGUGGGGAAUAUUGCACAAUGGGCGCAAGCCUGAUGCAGCCAUGCCGCGUGUAUGAAGAAGGCCUUCGGGUUGUAAAGUACUUUCAGCGGGGAGGAAGGUGUUGAGGUUAAUAACCUCAGCAAUUGACGUUACCCGCAGAAGAAGCACCGGCUAACUCCGUGCCAGCAGCCGCGGUAAUACGGAGGGUGCAAGCGUUAAUCGGAAUUACUGGGCGUAAAGCGCACGCAGGCGGUCUGUCAAGUCGGAUGUGAAAUCCCCGGGCUCAACCUGGGAACUGCAUUCGAAACUGGCAGGCUAGAGUCUUGUAGAGGGGGGUAGAAUUCCAGGUGUAGCGGUGAAAUGCGUAGAGAUCUGGAGGAAUACCGGUGGCGAAGGCGGCCCCCUGGACAAAGACUGACGCUCAGGUGCGAAAGCGUGGGGAGCAAACAGGAUUAGAUACCCUGGUAGUCCACGCCGUAAACGAUGUCGACUUGGAGGUUGUGCCCUUGAGGCGUGGCUUCCGGAGCUAACGCGUUAAGUCGACCGCCUGGGGAGUACGGCCGCAAGGUUAAAACUCAAAUGAAUUGACGGGGGCCCGCACAAGCGGUGGAGCAUGUGGUUUAAUUCGAUGCAACGCGAAGAACCUUACCUACUCUUGACAUCCAGAGAACUUUCCAGAGAUGGAUUGGUGCCUUCGGGAACUCUGAGACAGGUGCUGCAUGGCUGUCGUCAGCUCGUGUUGUGAAAUGUUGGGUUAAGUCCCGCAACGAGCGCAACCCUUAUCCUUUGUUGCCAGCGGUCCGGCCGGGAACUCAAAGGAGACUGCCAGUGAUAAACUGGAGGAAGGUGGGGAUGACGUCAAGUCAUCAUGGCCCUUACGAGUAGGGCUACACACGUGCUACAAUGGCGCAUACAAAGAGAAGCGACCUCGCGAGAGCAAGCGGACCUCAUAAAGUGCGUCGUAGUCCGGAUUGGAGUCUGCAACUCGACUCCAUGAAGUCGGAAUCGCUAGUAAUCGUAGAUCAGAAUGCUACGGUGAAUACGUUCCCGGGCCUUGUACACACCGCCCGUCACACCAUGGGAGUGGGUUGCAAAAGAAGUAGGUAGCUUAACCUUCGGGAGGGCGCUACCACUUG
rnacentral:rRNA from 1 species